UGAGUAAUCUGCCCUUAACUCUGGGAUAAGCCUGGGAAACGGGGGCUAAUACCGGAUAUGACGGCUCACCGCAUGAUGUGGUUGUGGAAAGUUUUUCGGUCUGGGAUGGGCUCGCGGCCUAUCAGCUUGUUGGUGGGGUGAUGGCCUACCAAGGCGACGACGGGUAGCCGGCCUGAGAGGGCGACCGGCCACACUGGGACUGAGACACGGCCCAGACUCCUACGGGAGGCA
rnacentral:rRNA from 1 species